rnacentral:rRNA from 1 species
UACGGAGGGGGGCUAGCGUUGUUCGGAAUUACUGGGCGUAAAGGGUGCGUAGGCGGGUCUUUAAGUCAGGGGUGAAAUCCUGGAGCUCAACUCCAGAACUGCCUUCGAUACUGGAGAGCUUGAGUCCGGGAGAGGUGAGUGGAACUGCGAGUGUAGAGGUGAAAUUCGUAGAUAUUCGCAAGAACACCAGUGGCGAAGGCGGCUCACUGGCCCGGUACUGACGCUGAGGUGCGAAGCGUGGGAGCAAACAGG